rnacentral:rRNA from 1 species
GGGACCAUCCUCCAAGGCUAAAUACUCCUGACUGACCGAUAGUGAACCAGUACCGUGAGGGAAAGGCGAAAAGAACCCCGGCGAGGGGAGUGAAAAAGAACCUGAAACCGUGAACGUACAAGCAGUGGGAGCAUGCUUAGGCGUGUGACUGCGUACCUUUUGUAUAAUGGGUCAGCGACUUAUAUUCUGUAGCAAGGUUAACCGAAUAGGGGAGCCGAAGGGAAACCGAGUCUUAACUGGGCGUUAAGUUGCAGGGUAUAGACC